rnacentral:misc_RNA from 1 species
AGCAGCCGCGGUAAUUCCAGCUCCAAUAGCGUAUAUUAAAGUUGUUGCAGUUAAAAAGCUCGUAGUUGAAUUUCGGGAUCAAUUAAUCGGUCGUGCCUCUGGUACGCACUGGUUUUAUUGGUUUCUCCCUUCUUACGAACCAGGAUGUCAUUAAUUUGGUGUCUUGGAGAAUCAGGACUGUUACUUUGAAAAAAUUAGAGUGUUUAAAGCAGGCUAACGCUUGAAUACAUUAGCAUGGAAUAAUGAAAUAGGACGUUUGAUCCUAUUUUGUUGGUUUCUAGGAUCGACGUAAUGAUUAAUAGGGAUAGUUGGGGGCAUUAGUAUUCAAUUGUCAGAGGUGAAAUUCUUGGAUUUAUUGAAGACUAACUACUGCGAAAGCAUUUGCCAAGGAUGUUUUCAUUAAUCAAGAACGAAAGUUAGGGGAUCGAAGACGAUCAGAUACCGUCGUAGUCUUAACCAUAAACUAUGCCGACUAGGGAUCGGAUGAUGUUAAUUUUUUAAUGACUCAUUCGGCGCCUUA